rnacentral:rRNA from 1 species
UACGAAGGGUGCAAACGUUGCUCGGAAUUACUGGGCGUAAAGCGUGCGUAGACGGCUAUCUAAGUCGGGUGUGAAAGCCCCCGGCUCAACUGGGGAGGGUCACGCGAUACUGAUCGACUCGAAGGCAGGAGAGGGUAGUGGAAUUCCCGGUGUAGUGGUGAAAUGCGUAGAUAUCGGGAGGAACACCAGUGGCGAAGGCGACUACCUGGCCUGUUCUUGACGCUGAGGCGCGAAAGCUAGGGGAGCAAACGGG